CGCGCUCUUGGUAUAAACAUGACUGAGUGUUAUAUUCGCGUCGCGGAGGAUGAGAACGAGGAGCCGAUGGAGAUUCCGUCCGAGGAGGACGGCACCGUGCUGCUCUCCACCGUCGCCGCGCAGUUUCCCGGUGCCUGCGGCCUUAGAUACCGUAGCCCCGUGUCUCAGUGCAUGAGAGGGGUACGACUAGUGGAGGGGGUUCUUCAUGCACCCGAAUCAGACUGGAGCAAUCUGGUGUACGUGGUCAACUACCCAAAAGAUAACAAGAGGAAGAUGGAUGAAAUGGAUGCUGCAUCGGCUGUGAAGAUCAAGAGAGGUGUGCAGAAGACAUCAGAUUUGAUUGUGCUUGGGUUGCCAUGGAAAACAUCAGAGCAAGACCUUAAAGAUUACUUCAGCACUUUUGGAGACGUGAUCAUGGUGCAGGUGAAAAGAGAUGCAAAAACUGGAAAUUCCAAAGGAUUUGGCUUUGUAAGAUUUACAGACUAUGAAACACAAGUAAAAGCCAUGUCCCAGCGGCAUAUGAUUGAUGGAAGAUGGUGCGACUGCAAACUUCCAAACUCAAAGUAUUUCAUGGAACAGGCUGGUCCGGAUGAGCCUAUGAGAAGCAGGAAAGUAUUUGUGGGCCGCUGCACAGAGGACAUGGCAGCCGAUGAGCUUAGACAGUUUUUUAUGCAGUAUGGCGAAGUCACAGACGUGUUCAUUCCCAAACCUUUCCGAGCCUUUGCCUUUGUCACCUUUGCUGAUGAUCAGGUUGCCCAGUCUCUGUGCGGUGAGGACCUGAUCAUUAAAGGAACCAGUGUGCACAUCUCCAACGCUGAGCCUAAGCACAAUAAUAUUCAUCACCUCUUUUCCAAUUUCCCGGGAAGAAGCCCCUCAUUGGCCGCAAUGUUCGAGCGAUCUCAGUAUCAGUUCCCUUCUUCCCAUGUGUAAAUGCUUUGCCACCAGAGAGCACAGCUUCACUCUGCAUAUACUGUGUUAGACGGGACGCUGGACGCGGCUGGCCCAGGUUUACCUCAGAACCCUGAGUGAAGUCCCUAAUGGGAGAGCUGAAGACUGAAGUUCACACAGUUCAUCUGUGGAGACUGCUGCUGUAUGCCUUUAACCUGAAAAGGGACUACAUCACUUCACUGUAACCAGAUUUCCCUGGAUUUCCCUUAUUGAAAUUUCAAUGGACGAUUCGCAAUUGGCCGGAGUGCGUGACUAAAGACAGUCCUUUGCAAUCUAAAAGCAAAGUUAAACCAGUGUGUUUAUGGAUCAGUCCCAUUGCAAAUGACUUCAUGUUCAUGCUUGUGUAUUUCCAGCUCUGUUUUACGCAAGAAGUCAAUGCAGUCAUUGAUCUUGCUUUUAAGUCGUUCUUUUGUUUGAUUGCUUUUUCAUGAUCUGUCCCACUGUAAAUAUAGUGUAGUGAAAGUUGAAAAGGCCUAUUUUUCAUAGUGUUCUGUUAUGGGUGAACCGAUAGGAUUUUGUGAAUGGGGUUUGUGUUAUCAAUGACUUAAUCACUGGCAGGAUUUCCAUUUUUCAAAAUACUUAAUAAACAUACACAGAGGAAUUGUAACUGUAUCUCUUUU